GAAGGUGGCAAGCGUUGUUCGGAUUUACUGGGCGUACAGGGAGCGUAGGCGGUUCGGUAAGCCCUCUGUGAAAUCUCCAGGCUUAACCUGGAACAGUCGGAGGGGACUGCCGGGCUAGAGGACGGGAGAGGAGCGCGGAAUUCCCGGUGUAGCGGUGAAAUGCGUAGAGAUCGGGAGGAAGGCCGGUGGCGAAGGCGGCGCUCUGGAACGUUUCUGACGCUGAGGCUCGAAAGCGUGGGGAGCAAACAGGAUUAGAUACCCUGGUAGUCCACGCCUUAAACUAUGAAUACUAAGUGUCGGCGGGUUACCGCCGGUGCCGCAGCUAACGCAUUAAGUAUUCCGCCUGGGAAGUACGGCCGCAAGGUUG
rnacentral:rRNA from 1 species